CGGCCUCCUUGGUGGUGUGAGACAGCUUGCGCUCGCCGGUCACCUGCGUGGUGGGCACGAGGGCAGCAUAUGUAGGGGUUGGCAAGGGGAUGAGCGGGGCCGGUCAGGCAGAACCGCGAAGGGCAGAAAAUGGGGAGCACAUCAAGAGGACAUGGGGCAAACGCAGGCAAACCUAACGAGGUGUGAUUGCGCUGAAGCUGUGCGCUCAUCCCCGUGCAUGUCAGCGGCUCCGGAUCAGGCAGCAGCCCACAUGCCAGGCCCCCAGCUGACGUCAGACCAGCUCGGCAACACGUACGAAGGAUAGGCCCCUGGUAAGAAACAGCUAGCACCCCUGGCUAGCACUGCUGUCUGUGUCCCAGCAGCCCGCUGCGAAGGGCCCAGCAC
rnacentral:lncRNA from 1 species